GAUGAACGCUGGCGGCGUGCUUAAUACAUGCAAGUCGAGCGAGGACCACCCGGUGGCAACACCGGGUGACUCCUAGCGGCGAACGGGUGAGUAACACGUGGGCAACCUGCCCCCGACUCUGGGAUAAGCCCGGGAAACUGGGUCUAAUACCGGAUACGAGCCUCCACCGCAUGGCGGAGGUUGGAAAGGGUCUCCGGUCGGGGAUGGGCCCGCGGCCUAUCAGCUUGUUGGUGGGGUAACGGCCCACCAAGGCGACGACGGGUAGCCGGCCUGAGAGGGUGAACGGCCACACUGGGACUGAGACACGGCCCAGACUCCUACGGGAGGCAGCAGUAGGGAAUCUUGCGCAAUGGGCGAAAGCCUGACGCAGCGACGCCGCGUGCGGGACGAAGGCCCUCGGGUUGUAAAGCUCUUUCAGCUGGGAAGAUAAUGACGGUACCAGCAGAAGAAGCCCCGGCUAACUCCGUGCCAGCAGCCGCAGUAAAAC
rnacentral:rRNA from 1 species